ACAUCCCGCUAACGAGGUAGAGAUACGUUAGGUGCCUUUCGGGGAAAGCGGAGACAGGUGGUGCAUGGUUGUCGUCAGCUCGUGUCGUGAGAUGUUGGGUUAAGUCCCGCAACGAGCGCAACCCUUACUGUUAGUUGCUACGCAAGAGCACUCUAGCAGGACCGCCGUUGACAAAACGGAGGAAGGUGGGGAUGAUGUCAAAUCAUCAUGCCCCUUAUGACCUGGGCCUCACACGUACUACAAUGGCCAUUAACAGAGGGAAGCAAAGCCGCGAGGCAGAGCAAAACCCUAAAAAUGGUCCCAGUUCGGAUCGCAGGCUGCAACCCGCCUGCGUGAAGUUGGAAUUGCUAGUAAUCGCGGAUCAGCAUGCCGCGGUGAAUACGUUCCCGGGCCUUGUACACACCGCCCGUCACACCAUGGAAGUCGGUAAUGCCCGAAGUCAGUAGCCUAACCGCAAGGGGGGCGCUGCCGAAGGCAGGAUUGAUGACUGGGGUGAAGUCGUAACAAGGUAGCCGU
rnacentral:rRNA from 1 species